GACGAACGCUGGCGGCGUGCUUAACACAUGCAAGUCGAGCGGUAAGGCCCUUUCGGGGGUACGACGAGCGGCGAACGGGUGAGUAACACGUGGGUGACCUGCCCUCAGCUCUGGGAUAAGCCUGGGAAACUGGGUCUAAUACUGGAUAUGACUCCACGGUGCAUGUCGUGGGGUGGAAAGCCUUGUGCGGCUGAGGAUGGGCCCGCGGCCUAUCAGCUUGUUGGUGGGGGGAUGGCCUACC
rnacentral:rRNA from 1 species